UUUUUGUUCCUGACCCUAUAGUGUCCCUUUAAAUAUUAAUCAAUUUUGAUCUACAUUGUAUACAACAUUCAAUUGUUGGAAGAUGUAGCUUUUCAGAUGCCAAUCUUCAUUAUGAGGUUAGUAAAAACACUAAUAAUUUUAUUUGACGUCAUACUCAGACUUUUUUAUGGUAUAUUGACAGGUGAGAAGCCGUUCUCCUGUUUCCACUGCGGACGUGGAUUUGCUGACCGUUCCAACCUCCGGGCUCACCUGCAGACACACUCCGAAGUCAAGAGGUAUAUCUGUCCAGGCUGUGGCAAGUCCUUCUCUCGAAUUUCUCUUCUCUCUAAGCACCGUGAUGGCUGUUGUUGUCCUUUGUCUUGAUAUUUGGUCUGGGCACUGCUUUAUCAGAAAUCUGAAAAACAAAUUUUUAUUUUUUUUUGUAGUAAGGCACAGCAAAGUUUACCAAGUGCCUCUGCCAUAGGAAGUCAAAUAUCACAUGAAGACAUUUGGGAUCAUGGAGCACACUAAUGAACAGAGGGCUGUGCAAGCUAAGGUAAAGGUCCAAGCUCUGCCCGCUACAUGGCUUAAUAGCUAUUCCUCUGCCUGUGUACCCAAGAAAGUUACGUGAUGCACCACAAUUUAAAGACUUAUUCCACAUGUUCUCUUGAUAAAUGUCCAGUGUGGUCCACAUGUUCUCUCCAUAAAUGUCCAGUGUGGUCUACAUGUUCUCUCCAUAAAUGUCCAGCUUGGUGCCUUCUACAUCUAUCUAGGCCUGAAGACUGGCCAUGGACUAAAAUGUAGUCAAAACCAACUAAUGGUUUGGACACCACUGUCUUCAAAGAUAAUCUCGACUGCCUAUGCCAGAAGAGGCUUGGCAGUAUACGCCAUGACACAGAAAUGAACAAAGUGUCACAUGGCUUCUCUGAUUGCCCAGUAUUGUAAUGAACCAUGCUGUGAGAAGCAAGAGGUUCCAUCUGCCAGCAUAUAUGCAAGGGAGCAGCUAAUUCCAGGCACAUAGGACACAUUUCACAUGUAAGUUCUCUGAAGAAACUGGCACUGGGGAUGUAUAUCAAUGGUUAAAAUCCACAAACUGGACAAUGAAUCAAAAACGAGACAAAGUCCAAAGCCGUAUUUCAGUAUUCAUAGUAAUUUAUAUUAAAAAUAAAACUUGUAAUUAUCCAAAUAGUACAACAUUUAAACUCCCACUGACUGACAUGGGGUUCUAGUUCCACAGAAGCUAGAAUGAGCCAUUGCCCUCACUUCACUAAAUGGCUUAUAACUGAUUGCACUGUACCCUAAAACAAUUACUUGUUUAAAUGUGAAUGCAAAAGAUAAUCUGUAUAAAAAGGGUUCUCAUUUAAAAUAAAUAUUUUUAUAGCUC